ACAUGCCUACAGUAUAGCGUUAAUGCACCGGAUCCCAUUAGAACUCUGUAGUUAAGCAUGCUCAGGAUAGAGUAGUAUUGGGAUGGGUGAAUGCCUGGGAAGUCUUAGUGUUUUACAUGCC
rnacentral:rRNA from 1 species